UCGGCACCGAAAACCCCAAGAAGCUCUCACAGGAGUCUCUCUCUCCCCAUGUCUCCAUCUCUCUCAUCUUUCUCUCUUUCUCUCUCAGUUGCUUGCUCAAAUUCUCUGGAACAUUUUUUUUACCUCGUUUGUGUUUCUCCUCCAUUUUCUUUCUCUCUCCCUAUGUCUCCGUCUCUCCCUCAUCUUUCUCUCUUCCUUUCUCUGUUAACUACAUUCUUGGUAACAAUUUUGUUUUUUGCCUUAUUUCAUUUCGGAAAGAAGCCACUCUGUAAAUUUGACUGAAGUUGUAAACUUUGUAACCAUUUUGGGCUUUCGUUGUAUGAACAAAGAGAGAGAGUUUAAUGAAGGAGGGCUCUACCCUGUAGUCUGCAGCUAUAAAUACACUGAUGCCAAAGAUCAAUCUUUCUCAAUGCAGUUAUUCAAAAUCCUUCUUCUUCAAUAGCAGGAAAAAUAAAAGCUCAUCAUGGAGACUUCUAAUGCUUUUGUUUUCUCUCAUGGAGACUUCUUUUUUCCGGUAAGCUUUUCCUUUUGAAACCCAACCAACGUUUCUUUUUCUUUGAACCCACCAUCUCUUUAGUUCUUCAGUUAUCCACAAAUCCUUAUCAGGAUCCGAACAUCAAGCUCAUCCCUGUGUGUCACCACCCUCAUUCCAUAAAAUUUCUGCAUCAGAAACCAUCACCAAUAGGCGACACUAUGAGCUCCUCCAUGCCAUGAACCAACCCUUAUUCUUCCUUGUCAAAAAUAGAGCACUCCUCACACACGAACUGCAUGGGUUUCUCCACCCAUUUAGCUCGGUUUUGCCACCACCCAACGCCAGUUUUCACCGUAGCACACUCAGCACAACCUCCAUCGCAGAGUGUCGCCACUUCUGACCUCCACCCAACCAACAUCCGUCGCACCCUUGGAUGGUGCCUCUGUCUCCAUGGUUUCCGUGUACCCACCAUGCAUCGCCGCCCAUAGCCACCGUGAGUGCCACCACAAGUGAUCCCCAGCCCUGCACCGAAGCUUCCCCUCUCCCUUGUUGUCAAUCUACUCCCUCGCCUCACAGAUCCUCCACCAAAAUAGAAACUCUGCCCCUUCCCCUCACGAUAUGCUUCAGGCGACAUGGGUAAAAAUCCACGCAAAUCAAGGAUAAAAUGAGAAGAAAUGUGUUUGACAAAAAUACUGUUCCUACCUCACUCGCAGUUAUAUAUCUUUAUAUAAUAAUAAGUAUUUAUCCUGUUGCAAUCUGAAUAAGCAGUAAAUUUAUAUUUUAUUUUUUUCUUUCUUUUUUAUUAUAUAGUUAUUUUUUUAACGUUUUGUUUUCUCCAUUCGUGUUUAUUUAUAUAAGGAAGUUUUAGUUUUUAGUGAGAUUAUGUUAAUGAUAUUUUUUUAAAAGAAUUUCAGACAAAACAAAUCUUUCAUUCUCCGUUUUGUAUUCCUUCCAAGUUAUCUUUUUAAACUCAUACCCAUCCUCUAUUCUAUCUCUCUAUCUCACGGCUCUCGAUUUUUCUUCAUCUUACUAAAAUCCAAAGCACCAAAACUAUAAAAUUUUAGAAUUUUUGAAAUUUGCUUGGUCGUGUUAGCUAUUCAACACAUAUCGAAGCUUUACAAGUGACCUUGAGAGAGAGGACAUCUCUAGCAGUUUGCAAUAGAUAGAGGAACAAUAGAUAGAGGAAGGGCUUUAUGAGGAUGGGGAUGAUGAAACAGAAAGUGCUUAUACUGCAAAAUUAGAUGAUCUUAAGGAGAUCUAAUAGAGAAUCGUUAUAAAGAUGAAGCAGCAAGAGUACAAGCAAAAAGAGAUCUGCUCAACUCCAUUGUGGAUUAUAGGAAGUCUGUUGAUUCAAUCCCACCCAAGGAUCAAGAGGCGGUAUGAUAUGAAAUUGCUAAUGAUGACUAUUACUAAUCUCAUGCUGUUUUGAUGAUGUUUUCAAUGUUUUUAACUUUUCAUUAUUUUCAAAUCAUUAAUGAGUGCAAUAAAGCAAAGAAGUAUUUCACCAUAGAAUGGCAGUACCAUUAACUUCAUUUAUUAUUUUUUAAUCAUACCUUUAUUUAUUAUUUAUUUUAUCAAACUUUUAAUUAUUUCCUUACAAAAAGCCUUUCAUUCAUCCUUCUCAAUAGCUAAUUGUGGGACACCCGGAAAGUGUGGAGACUUUUAGUGGGAGAGUAGUUAGAUUUGGCGAGAUAAAAUAAAUUAUGCACAUGAUUUCAUGUGAGAGUCAAGACAAAAGAGAUGGUGACAUUGGAGAGUGUAGAGACUUUUAGUGGCAGAGUAGUUAGAUUUGGUGAGAAAAUGGGUGAGGCUGUCGGGUUAGAAUUGGAUUUAUUAACAGUACUCCAUCAGUUAAUUUAAUGCAAUACAUGAUGGGAUAUUUGAAUGAAAAUAUCAUGCUGGAGACAUCAUUAAUUAAUUAGUAAUUACGUCAAGGUAUGCACCCCACCAUAAAUUAUUUUAUAUGUUAGUAAUUUAUAUUAAAGAGAAUAUAAAUCAAAAUGUGCGACAUGUUAGGUGUAUCAUUGAUGAUCAUCUCUAUCGAGUAUUAGGUGCGACGUGUAUGCUUUCUCCGCAUUCUUUAAUUUUUAAGUGAAGUAGAAAAAGAGAUUAAAUUUGAAGAGGGUCCAUUUCCAACUACCUAAAAGUAUAUUGGCUUAGCCUUACCUGCCAAAAUAUAUAAAAAUCAAAAGGUGAACAAUUUAAAUAAUUUAAUUAAAAAGACGAGAGAUGAGAGCUUACCUGCAAAAAUAUAUAAAAAUCAAAAGGUGAACAAUUGAAAUAAUUUAAUUAAGAAGACGAGAGAUGAGAGCGAGAGAGGUGGGUGCCAUGUAAUUCCGAAUUUGAACUAAUAGGCCCCACCAUAUUUAACAAAAGAUGAUCAUAACUCUCUCAUCUAAUAAGACAAAACGGUCCUACCAUGAGAUGAUAAUUGAAUGUGUACAACUUAAAACUGAUCAUGACUCGGACAAGUAAGAUAAAUAAGCGUGUACUCCGUGUCCUGAACUAGUUUAAUAUGGUGGGGCUUAUUCAAUUAUCGUCUCAUAGUGGGACUGUUUUGUCUUAUUAGAUGAGAGAGUUAUGAUCAUCUUUUGUUAAAUAUGGUGGGACCUAUUAGUUCAAAUUCGGAAUUGCAUGGCACCCACCUCUUUCGCUCUCAUCUCUCGUCUUCUUAAUUAAAUUAUUUAAAUUGUUCACCUUUUAAUUUUUAUAUAUUUUUGCAGGUAAGCUCUCAUCUCUCGUCUUUUUAAUUAAAUUAUUUAAAUUGUUCACCUUUUGAUUUUUAUAUAUUUUGGUAGGUAAGGUUAAGCCAGUAUACUUUUAGGUAGUUGGAAAUGGACCCUCUUCAAAUUCAAUCUCUAUUUCUACUUCACUUAAAAAUUAAAGAAUGAGGAGAAAGCAUACACAUCGCACCUAAUACUCGAUAGAGAUGAUCAUCAAUGAUGCACCUAACACGUCACACCUUUUGAUUUAUAUUCCCUUUAAUAUAAAUUGCUAACAUAUAAAAUAGUUUAUGGUGGGUUGCAUACCUUGAUGUAAUUACUAAUUAAUUAAUGAUGUCUCCCGCAUGAUGUUUUCAUUCAAAUAUCCCAUCAUGUAUUGCAUUAAAUUAACUGGUGGAGUACUGUUAAUAAAUCCAAUUCUAACCCGACAGCCUCACCCAUUUUUUCACCAAAUCUAACUACUCUCCCACUGAAAGUUUCCACACUCUCCAAUGUCACCAUCUCUUUUGUCUCGACUCUCACCCAAAAUCAUGUACAUAAUUUAUUUUAUCUCGCCAAAUCUAACUACUCUCCCACUAAAAGUCUACAUACUCUCCGGCUGUCCCACGAUUAGCUAUUGAGAAGGAUGAAUGAAAGGCUUUUUGUAAGGAAAUAAUUAAAUGUUUGAUAAAAUAAAUAAUAAAUAAAGAUAUGAUUAAAAAAUAAUAAAUGAAGUUAAUGGUACUGUCAUUCUAUAGUGAAAUACUUCUCUGCUUUAUUAAUAGAGAAUUGUUAUAAAGAUAAAGCAGCAAGAGCACAAGAAAGAAGAGAUCUGCUCAACUCCAUUGUGGAUUAUAGGAAGUCUGUUGAUUCAAUCCCACCCAAGGAUCAAGAGGCGAUCAUUAAUGAGUGCAAUAAAGCAGAGAAGU